UUUGCAAGAGCAAUGUCGUGUUUUGGCUCGUUUUCCAUGCGGUGAGCUCUGAGACUCUUGUGAUCUCAGCUUUAAACCUGCAGAGCUGAGUGAAGGUGCUACAACUGAUCCCUGUGAUCACAGAGGGUGACUUGGCUGCUGACUCUCAAAUGUGAGGAAUAUCUGCCCUGGACCACCACAUGGACGUUUUUGUGGGAAAAAAUUGCAGCAGUCUCUAAGAAGGAGCACGUGACCACAAUUAAAGGAUGUGCUGUGCUGUAUCAGAAGAACAGACCAUGACCAUGGCAGAGUUGGUGUGACACACGGGUUGAAGAAAAGUAAGAAACAUCCAGAUAUGUCUUGGGCGAGAAAGCAGAAACCUUUGAAAAAUUUUGGCAAAUCAAGACACAUGAAGAACGUGUUGAGUGAAACAUUUCAGA